GAUGAACGCUGGCGGCGUGCCUAAUACAUGCAAGUCGAGCGAACAGACGAGGAGCUUGCUCCUCUGACGUUAGCGGCGGACGGGUGAGUAACACGUGGAUAACCUACCUAUAAGACUGGGAUAACUUCGGGAAACCGGAGCUAAUACCGGAUAAUAUAUUGAACCGCAUGGUUCAAUAGUGAAAGACGGUUUUGCUGUCACUUAUAGAUGGAUCCGCGCCGCAUUAGCUAGUUGGUAAGGUAACGGCUUACCAAGGCAACGAUGCGUAGCCGACCUGAGAGGGUGAUCGGCCACACUGGAACUGAGACACGGUCCAGACCCCUACGGGAGGCAGCAGUAGGGAAUCUUCCGCAAAGGGCGAAAGCUUGACGGAGCAACGCCGCGUGAGUGAUGAAGGUCUUCGGAUCGUAAAACUCUGUUAUUAGGGAAGAACAAAUGUGUAAGUAACUAUGCACGUCUUGACGGUACCUAAUCAGAAAGCCACGGCUAACUACGUG
rnacentral:rRNA from 1 species